UGGGCCUUUCUUCCUUAUUUCCUGAUAACCCCCUGCAGAAACAGAUAAACAACAAAUCUCGUGGAAUUCUGUCAGAUCAAACCCUAAUUCUAGGUGUUGGUUGCAUAUCGGUCCUUUCUCUUGUUUAUUUGAUAAUUAAAAUUGAUACUUAAGAACCAUCAACAAAUACCCCCAUACUUAGGCUUUUACUCGUCCUCGAGAAAAUGAUGCUUAAGAACAAUAUCUGGGGCAAAAUAUUUUAAAACAUUCUUUUCAUAACUGCAGGGUGUUAAAAUCCACUGUGUACUAUAGUGAGGGAAAUGUAUGGUUAAGAGUAGAGAUCCUUUCUUCUCAAUCCUGUCACUUGGAGUUUUUGUAUAUUUUUGAAAGAAAGUUAGCAUACCUUUUAUCCUCAUAGGUUCUCUUAGAGGAUCCGAGGAGGGGAAUGUCUCACUGAGGCUGUUUUAAUUUGCAAAAAUUCUCAAGCAUACUUACUUUGCAUUUAUUGCCUGAUCAAAACGGGAUCCGAGGAGGGGAAUGUCAUACUCUUAGAUCAAAGACUUUGGAAAUUAAAAUCUUUGUCAACUCUUGCUGGCAUAUUGCUUAUUAGAGGGACCAUGGGCUAUCAUUUUCUUUUUCUUCUCUUUUUUUUAAGUGGAUACCUAGGUAUCCCUAAUUCAACUCCCAGACACUUGUCCAUUUUUUCUGCGAGGUUAUCGAGCACUUGCUCCUUUUUAUUUCCUCAAAAUAUCUUUAUUUUUGCAUAGCCCAUGCCUCUAAUGCAAUAAUACUUCGGAAGAGUGAAUCUUUCUGAAUAAAUGUCUUGAUCUUAGGAGCAUGAUAAAUCUCUCAACAAGGGUCUAACUCAUUUUGAACAAACUCAGUACAGAGUAGAUAGCUUUUAUAAUCAUAAUUAAUAUUUUCAGUUUUAUCAGGCAUAUAAAACACUGAGGAUGGUAGCUAAAAUUUUGAAAAUUUUGAAAUAAAUUCUCCAAGCAACAAUGAUAUCAAGAAUAAGAAACUCAUACUCUACUAUCUCAUAUUCCACACUAACUUAAGCAACACAGGGUUUUAAAAUGAUUUUCAAUAAUUGCAAGUUUCAGGAAAUAUCACAGAGUGAGAUUAAUCAUAUUUAGUAAAGUGUCAUGUCGAAACAAUAUUCUGCAUA
rnacentral:lncRNA from 1 species